UCCUGUUCAGCUCUGUGCAUGCUUCGUCACAUCACAUCUCCAGCGUAACCUGUGCUACCCUCUCUAGUUGGGACGUCAUGUGGCCAGGCGACUGACCCAUACAGGGGAGGAACAUUACUGCAGUACCUCGUACUAGUGCUGCAGCUGGGCAUUGACCUUAGGCAGUCACUCAGCAUGAGAUAGAGAUGAUGGCGAUGCGGUCUUUUUCCUGGAUGGUGAUGCGGUCUUUUUCCUGGAUGGUGACAGUGCACUAGUAACUCACUCUCUCACUGACUCCCUGACUCUCUCACUCAGUGUCUCACUGUCUGUGUUCCGAUGCACAAUUACUGUAUUGGUUAUAAUUGCUGUUACAUCAUCAUCACACUUGAUACACCCGAUCAUCGUCACACCAGUGCUACACUAGCCCAGCUAGCUAGCGGAUGUAGCAACACCAGUGCUUGAGAGUGUGUGACUGAUCCCCUGCUGCCUAGGAACACUAAUGCAGUUAGAUCGCAAUACAAUAAGUAUACUAAUCAACAUUGAGACUGUGAUUAUUGUGUUCCUAAUUCUGA